GCUUAACACAUGCAAGUCGAGGGGCAGCAUUUCAGUUUGCUUGCAAACUGGAGAUGGCGACCGGCGCACGGGUGAGUAACACGUAUCCAACCUGCCGAUAACUCGGGGAUAGCCUUUCGAAAGAAGGAUUAAUACCCGAUGGUAUAAUCAGACCGCAUGGUCUUGUUAUUAAAGAAUUUCGGUUAUCGAUGGGGAUGCGUUCCAUUAGGCAGUUGGUGAGGUAACGGCUCACCAAACCUUCGAUGGAUAGGGGUUCUGAGAGGAAGGUCCCCCACAUUGGAACUGAGACACGGUCCAAACUCCUACGGGAGGCAGCAGUGAGGAAUAUUGGUCAAUGGGCGCAGGCCUGAACCAGCCAAGUAGCGUGAAGGAUGACUGCCCUAUGGGUUGUAAACUUCUUUUAUAUGGGAAUAAAGUUUUCCACGUGUGGAAUUUUGUAUGUACCAUAUGAAUAAGGAUCGGCUAACUCCGUGCCAGCAGCCGCGGUAAUACGGAGGAUCCGAGCGUUAUCCGGAUUUAUUGGGUUUAAAGGGAGCGUAGGUGGACAGUUAAGUCAGUUGUGAAAGUUUGCGGCUCAACCGUAAAAUUGCAGUUGAUACUGGCUGUCUUGAGUACAGUAGAGGUGGGCGGAAUUCGUGGUGUAGCGGUGAAAUGCUUAGAUAUCACGAAGAACUCCGAUUGCGAAGGCAGCUCACUGGACUGCAACUGACACUGAUGCUCGAAAGUGUGGGUAUCAAACAGGAUUAGAUACCCUGGUAGUCCACACAGUAAACGAUGAAUACUCGCUGUUUGCGAUAUACAGUAAGCGGCCAAGCGAAAGCAUUAAGUAUUCCACCUGGGGAGUACGCCGGCAACGGUGAAACUCAAAGGAAUUGACGGGGGCCCGCACAAGCGGAGGAACAUGUGGUUUAAUUCGAUGAUACGCGAGGAACCUUACCCGGGCUUAAAUUGCAUUUGAAUAUAUUGGAAACAGUAUAGCCGUAAGGCAAAUGUGAAGGUGCUGCAUGGUUGUCGUCAGCUCGUGCCGUGAGGUGUCGGCUUAAGUGCCAUAACGAGCGCAACCCUUAUCUUCAGUUACUAACAGGUCAUGCUGAGGACUCUGGAGAGACUGCCGUCGUAAGAUGUGAGGAAGGUGGGGAUGACGUCAAAUCAGCACGGCCCUUACGUCCGGGGCUACACACGUGUUACAAUGGGGGGUACAGAAGGCAGCUAGCGGGUGACCGUAUGCUAAUCCCAAAAGCCUCUCUCAGUUCGGAUCGAAGUCUGCAACCCGACUUCGUGAAGCUGGAUUCGCUAGUAAUCGCGCAUCAGCCACGGCGCGGUGAAUACGUUCCCGGGCCUUGUACACACCGCCCGUCAAGCCAUGGGAGCCGGGGGUACCUGAAGUACGUAACCGCAAGGAUCGUCCUAGGGUAAAACUGGUGACUGGGGCUAAGUCGU
rnacentral:rRNA from 1 species